AAGUCUGGCCUUGGAAAGGAAAGAAGAUGCCUUUACAGGCACCUGGAUUAGCCCAACGGUCUCCUUGCUGGGCGGAGGGAAAUUGCAAUUGCAUGCCCUGGCUUCUUGUUUUUGGCGAUAGUGUUGAAAAUAUGACAGUCAUUGGAGUAUUAGGGUUUGGCCCAAUUUCUCCCAUUUCGAACCUUCAGAAAUACUAUCGAAUGUCCAACUAAAACCUGUUGUAUUUUUAAAUCCUUACGU
rnacentral:lncRNA from 1 species